rnacentral:lncRNA from 10 species
GUUGUGAGCUGCCUUUGAAGGGAGCUGUGUGGCAAAAAGCCAAGAGUGGCCUCUAGGAGCUGACAGCCAGCAAGGGAACAGGGACCUUGGUGACACAGCCAGAAGGAAACUUGGAAGUGGAUCCCUUCCCCAUUGAGCCUCCAGAUGAGAAUACAGCCAGUUGACACCUUGACUGCAGGCUUGUGAGAUCCUGAGAUGAAGACCCAGAUAACAUGUGGCAUAUACUUUUGACUGCAGAAAUCGUGAGAGGAAAAGCUUCAGUGUGGAUGUCUCUGGAAGAGAGAGAGAGAAAAUACACAGCUUUCAAAUUCACAAUAAAAGGGAUGCUGCUGUUCCACUUCGGUCUUUUGCAGCUCCUGGACAGCCUUUAUGCAGUCACUUGUGUGCUCUGGUACAGAGACUGCACAGAAUCUCCCAGAAGACCUUAGUCAAUGCAGAAUUAAAUGGAAAAAUUCCACUUUUGUCAAAGGUGAAAAAUCUGGCUUUCCUUACAUGCAGAACCUCUAGAGACAUCAACAUGGUCUGUAUGAGCAACCUCAGCAAAAAAAAAAAAAAAGCCUCAUCUGAUAGACUGUCAGUCACAGAAAUAAUAAAGGAAAGAAAGAAGAGAGGAAGCUGUAUUUUAUUUUAAUAUAAUUACUCUUUUUGCUUUCCUAAUACGACAGUGUGAACAUACAUUGGGCUGUUUCUCAGUGACAAAACUGGCUACCAUGGCAAUAAAUGCUCUUUACUUACUUCUGGGUUUUAUAAGAUGUCGG